rnacentral:rRNA from 1 species
AGAACGAACGCUGGCGGCAUGCCUAACACAUGCAAGUCGAACGCUUGUCCGGCUUCGGCCGAACAGGAGUGGCGCACGGGUGAGUAGCGCGUGGGAACCUGCCCUGUUGUGGGGGAUAACCGAGGGAAACUUCGGCUAAUACCGCAUAAGCCGGUUGUCUUGAAAGAGAUGGCCGGGAAAGAUUUAUCGCGACAGGAGGGGCCCGCGUCGGAUUAGGUAGUUGGUAGGGUAACGGCCUACCAAGCCUUUGAUCCGUAGCUGGUCUGAGAGGAUGAUCAGCCACACUGGGACUGAGACACGGCCCAGACUCCUACGGGAGGCAGCAGUGGGGAAUAUUGGACAAUGGGCGCAAGCCUGAUCCAGCAAUGCCGCGUGAGUGAUGAAGGCCUUAGGGUUGUAAAGCUCUUUCGCCCGCGACGAUGAUGACGGUAGCGGGAGAAGAAGCCCGGCUAACUUCGCGCCAGCAGCCGCGGUAA